AUACGGAGGGUGCAAGCGUUACUCGGAAUCACUGGGCGUAAAGCGCGCGCAGGCGGGCUGAUAAGUUGGAUGUGAAAGCCUACGGCUCAACCGUAGAACUGCAUCCAAAACUGUCAGUCUAGAGUGUGGGAGGGGAAGAUGGAAUUAGUUGUGUAGGGGUAAAAUCCGUAGAGAUAACUAGGAAUACCAAAAGCGAAGGCAAUCUUCUGGAACACUACUGACGCUGAGGCGCGAAGGCGUGGGGAGCAAACAGGAUUAGAAACCCUAGUAGUCC
rnacentral:rRNA from 1 species